rnacentral:rRNA from 1 species
CCUAAUUAAUUCUGCUAGUAGUUAUAUACUUAUCUUAAAAAUUAAGCUAUAUAUAUCUAGGUAUAAGUAAUUAUAUAGUGAAACUGCGAAUAGCUUAUUAUAUAAGUUAUUAUUUAUUUAAUAGUAUCUUACUAUUUAGAUAAUUAUAGUAAUUCUAAAGUUAAUAUAUACUAAAAAUCCCGACUUCGGAAGGAAUAUAUUUAUUAAAUUAAAAACUAAUAUUUUUUGGGGCUUAUUAGUAAUUUAUAAUAACUUCUCGAAUUGUAUAGCUUUAUACUGGCGAUAGUUUAUUCAAAUUUCUUCCCUAUUAACUUUCAAUACUAGAGUAGUGUUUUAAUAUAAUUACAACAGGUAACGGAGGGUUAGAGCUUAACCCCAGAGAAGGAGCCUGAGAAAUAGCUACUAUAUCUAAGGAAGAUAGCAGGCAUGCAAAUUACCUAAUCCUAACACAGAGAAGUAGUAAUAAUAAAUACUAAUACAGGGCUCUUUUAGAUCUUAUAAUUAGAAUAAGUAUAAUUUAAAUCCCUUAAUGAGGAAUAAUUAGAAAAUAAGUUUAAUAUUAGCAGCUGUGGUAAUUCUAGCUUUAAUAGUAUAUAUUAAAGUUAUUAUAGUUAAAAAGCUUAUAGUAGAACUUUGGGUCUGGCUGGCUGGUCCGCCUCACUGUAUGCACUAGUCCGGCUAAGCUUUUCCCUCUGUGGAACUGCAUACUCUUCACUAGGUAUACUGGGGAAAUAAGACUUUUACUUUAAAAAAAUUAGAAUACUCCAGGCAAACCUAUACUCAAAUACAUUAAUAUAGAAUAAUAGAAUAGGACGUAUAAUUCUAUUUUAUUAGUUUCUAGGACUACUAUAAUAAUUAAUAGGGACAGUUGGAAGUAUUAGUAUUUAAUUGUCAGAAGUGAAAUUCUUAGAUUUAUUGAAAACUAACUACUGCGAAAGUAUUUACUAAAGAUAUUUUUAUUUAUUAGGAAUGAAAGUUAGGAGAUUGAAGAUAAUUAGAUACUAUUAUAAUCUUAACUAUAAACUAUACCAACUAGGGAUUGGAUGAUAUUAUUUUUUGACUCGUUUAGCAUCUUAUAAGAAAUUAAAAUACUUAGGUUCUAGGGAGAGUAUAGUUGUAAAGCUGAAACUUAAAGAAAUUAAUAGAAGGGCACCACUAGAAGUAAAUAGUAGCUAUUUAAGUUCUACCCCAGACAGUAAGCCUAUAAAGGAUCUAGUAGCUAGCUCCGAAUUGCUAGUUACUCUAGUAGUGGUGAUAUUCUCUAAUUGUGGGAAAUCCUCAGAGAGUGGUACUCUUAAGUAAUACUUAAAAGAGACACUGUAGUGGCAGCAUAACGGCCGCCAGUAUGGGGAUAACAUGCUACUCAUGAGGCGACUCGCAGCUAAGCUUCUAACUAUAGGGAAGGUUUAGAAACUCGAUAGGGAUGGGUGGCGCCCCCGGGCGCCACUUAAGAUAGAGUCUAUACUUACUUGAGAGAGUAGAGACUAACUAGUAUAUUACCUAAAAAGGAAGCCUGCAGCUUAAUUUAACUUAACAUAAAGAAACUUACUAAGUUCAGACAUAAUAAAGAUUAAUAGAUUGAGAGCUUUUUCUUAAUUUUAUAAAUAGUAAUAUAUAGCUAUUCUUAGUUAGUAGAGUAAUUUAUCUAUUUAAUUAUAAUAAUAAAUAAGAUCUUAACCUGCUAAAUAGCUUAUAUUACUUUAGUAGUAUACUAACUUCUUAGAGGGACUAUUAGCUUAAGCUGAUAGAAGUUUAAAGUAAUAACAGGUUAAUCUUCACAGG